GACGAACGCUGGCGGCGUGCUUAACACAUGCAAGUCGAACGGUAAGGCCCUUCGGGGUACACGAGUGGCGAACGGGUGAGUAACACGUGGGUGAUCUGCCCUGCACUUCGGGAUAAGCCUGGGAAACUGGGUCUAAUACCGGAUAGGACCACUGCCUGCAUGGGUGGUGGUGGAAAGCUUUUGCGGUGUGGGAUGGGCCCGCGGCCUAUCAGCUUGUUGGUGGGGUGAUGGCCUACCAAGGCGACGACGGGUAGCCGGCCUGAGAGGGUGACCGGCCACACUGGGACUGAGAUACGGCCCAGACUCCUACGGGAGGCAGCAGUGGGGAAUAUUGCACAAUGGGCGCAAGCCUGAUGCAGCGACGCCGCGUGGGAUGACGGCCUUCGGGUUGUAAACCUCUUUCAGCACCGACGAAGCGCAAGUGACGGUAGGUGCAGAAGAAGGACCGGCCAACUACGUGCCAGCAGCCGCGGUAA
rnacentral:rRNA from 1 species